UACGGAGGGUGCAAGCGUUAUCCGGAUUCACUGGGUUUAAAGGGUGCGUAGGUGGGCAGGUAAGUCAGUGGUGAAAUCUCCGGGCUUAACCCGGAAACUGCCAUUGAUACUAUCUUUCUUGAAUACCGUGGAGGUGAGCGGAAUAUGUCAUGUAGCGGUGAAAUGCUUAGAUAUGACAUAGAACACCAAUUGCGAAGGCAGCUCACUACACGAAUAUUGACACUGAUGCACGAAAGCGUGGGGAUCAAACAGG
rnacentral:rRNA from 1 species